rnacentral:rRNA from 1 species
UGGGGGAUAUUGCACAAUGGGCGAAAGCCUGAUGCAGCGACGCCGCGUGGGGGAUGAAGGCUUUCGGGUUGUAAACCUCUUUCGUUAUCGAACAAGGCCCGCUUAGGGUGGGUUGAGGGUAGGUGGAGAAGAAGCGCCGGCUAACUACGUGCCAGCAGCCGCGGUAAUACGUAGGGCGCGAGCGUUGUCCGGAAUUAUUGGGCGUAAAGGGCUUGUAGGCGGCUUGUUGCGCCUGCUGUGAAAACGCGGGGCUUAACUUCGCGCGUGCAGUGGGUACGGGCAGGCUUGAGUGUGGUAGGGGUGACUGGAAUUCCAGGUGUAGCGGUGGAAUGCGCAGAUAUCUGGAGGAACACCGAUGGCGAAGGCAGGUCACUGGGCCAUUACUGACGCUGAGGAGCGAAAGCAUGGGUAGCGAACAGG